AUCUGGGGCCAUACCACAGUUAAAUCACCGCAUCCCGUCUGAUCUGCGAAGUUAAGCACUGUAGGGCCGAGUCAGUAGUGCGGUGGGGGACCACGCGCGAAUACUCUGGUGCCCCAGGU
rnacentral:rRNA from 12 species